AGUGACCAAAAACCACCCACCAAGCUAUCCAUCGUCAUUUACUCCUACUUCCACGACUUACCAUUCCACCACCCACCCCCUUUGAUAAAAUUUUUUUCUCCCUUUAUAAACUCCAUCCUCACAACCUUCUCCAUAAUCACUAUCAUUUAUCUUUUCAAGUUAAUAUCUUCUUUAGCUAUAGCACAUACCAAACAUGGCUCUAGCCAUUUCUUUAUCCACCCUUCUCUUCCUUUUCUUCUUUACUCUAUCAUCUGCCAUGGACAUGUCAAUUAUCCGCUAUAACUAUGAUCAUCAUCCUAAAAGCUGGAGAAGCGAUGUCGAGGUCAUGAACAUGUACAACUGGUGGCUUGCAAAGCAUGGUAAAACUUACAAUAAGAUUGGGGAGAGGGAGGAGAGGUUUGAGAUCUUUAAGAAUAACUUGAGGUUCAUCGAUGAACACAACUCUAAAAAUCGUACCUAUAAGGUUGGAUUGACUAGGUUUGCUGAUCUUACCAAUGAAGAGUACCGUGCCAUGUUCUUGGGCACAAAGAGUGAUCCUAAGCGUAGAGUAAUGAAGUCUAAAAACCCCAGCCGUAGGUAUGCUUUUAAGGCCACUGACGAAUUGCCAGAGUCCGUCGAUUGGAGAAAGGAAGGAGCUGUUAAUCCUAUCAAAGAUCAAGGAAGUUGUGGUAGCUGCUGGGCAUUCUCAACCAUAGCUGCAGUAGAAGGAAUAAACAAGAUAGUGACAGGGGAACUAAUCUCUCUAUCAGAACAAGAAUUGGUAGACUGUGACAGAUCAUACGAUGCAGGUUGCAAUGGAGGCCUCAUGGACAACGCCUUCCAGUUCAUCCUCCAGAAUGGUGGCAUUGACACCGAACAAGAUUAUCCAUACCUCGCCGUUGAUGGCACUUGUGACCCAACCAAGGUUUGCAUAUUUAAAACGAUUCCAGAAUCACUCGACCAAAGAUUAUUGGUAGAAUAGAAUAUUGAUUCUUUUUCUUUCUUGGGUUUCAUCGUUUUGGAUCGUUGCAGGUGAAUAAUAAGGCUGUUACCAUUGAUGGGUUUGAGGAUGUUAUUCCUUUCGAUGAGAAAGCUUUGCAGAAAGCUGUGGCAAAUCAACCUGUCAGUGUUGCAAUUGAAGCCAGCGGCAUGCCUUUGCAGUUCUACCAGUCGGGUGUGUUCAGUGGUGAAUGUGGAUCAGCUCUAGACCAUGGAGUGGUCAUUGUUGGAUAUGGAACAGAUCAAAAUGGCAUGGAUUACUGGAUUGUUAGGAAUUCAUGGGGCCGAGACUGGGGUGAGAAUGGAUAUAUCAGGAUCCAGCGCAAUGUGGUUGACACAUACGCUGGCAAAUGUGGAAUUGCAAUGGAAUCCUCUUAUCCCAUCAAGAAUGCCCAGAACCCUUCUCAAACUUCUGAGGCUGCUGAGAAGAUCAACAGCGCUUGAAGCUUCCUCUUGCCUCUUUCAAGAAAAGGGUACAAAGAAAGAUCAACAAAGGUGUGAAUUAUGAUGGCUACUUGAUUUAUUAUGUCCUGUAAUAAGGAAAAAUUGGGUGUUUGUGUUUGUUUGGAAUGUUGUUGUCGUAUAUAGCUUUACAUUGUCAAAACAUCACCUGAAAAAACUGAAAAUUGUUGUAUCUGGAUGUCAUUUCGCCAUUAAAUAAAUUUAUCAAGCACACUAAAAGCAGUUGUUUCUCUAAAAA
rnacentral:misc_RNA from 1 species